rnacentral:pre_miRNA from 1 species
UUUGCUCAUAUUUGUAUGGAAUGGGAUCGUUUGCCUACGUUUGCCGCUAGGGGCGCUGUUCCAACUGCAUACAAAAUUGGAUUA